rnacentral:rRNA from 1 species
UUGCUCCUACGGGGGGCAGCAGUGGGGAAUAUUGCACAAUGGGCGAAAGCCUGAUGCAGCAACGCCGCGUGAGCGAUGAAGGCCUUCGGGUCGUAAAGCUCUGUCCUCAAGGAAGAUAAUGACGGUACUUGAGGAGGAAGCCCCGGCUAACUACGUGCCAGCAGCCGCGGUAAUACGUAGGGGGCUAGCGUUAUCCGGAAUUACUGGGCGUAAAGGGGGCGUAGUUGGUUUCUUAAGUCAGAGGUGAAAGGCUACGGCUCAACCGGAGUAAGCCUUUGACACUGGGGAAGUGGAGUGC